rnacentral:rRNA from 1 species
ACUUGCUCUUAUAGAGUUAGCGGCGGACGGGUGAGUAACACGUGGGUAACCUGCCCAUAAGACUGGGAUAACUCCGGGAAACCGGGGCUAAUACCGGAUAACAUUUUGAACCGCAUGGUUCGAAAUUGAAAGGCGGCUUCGGCUGUCACUUAUGGAUGGACCCGCGUCGCAUUAGCUAGUUGGUGAGGUAACGGCUCACCAAGGCAACGAUGCGUAGCCGACCUGAGAGGGUGAUCGGCCACACUGGGACUGAGACACGGCCCAGACUCCUACGGGAGGCAGCAGUAGGGAAUCUUCCGCAAUGGACGAAAGUCUGACGGAGCAACGCCGCGUGAGUGAUGAAGGCUUUCGGGUCGUAAAACUCUGUUGUUAGGGAAGAACAAGUGCUAGUUGAAUAAGCUGGCACCUUGACGGUACCUAACCAGAAAGCCACGGCUAACUACGUGCCAGCAGCCGCGGUAAUUAAA